rnacentral:rRNA from 1 species
UACGUAGGGGGCAAGCGUUGUCCGGAUUUAUUGGGCGUAAAGAGCGUGUAGGCGGCCAGGGAGGUCCGUUGUGAAAACUCGAGGCUCAACCUCGAGACGCCGAUGGAAACCCCCUGGCUAGAGUCCGGAAGAGGAGAAUGGAAUUUCUGGUGUAGCGGUGAAAUGCGCAGAUAUCAGGAAGAACGCCCAUGGCUAAGGCGGUUCUCUGGGACGGUACUGACGCUGAGACGCGAAAGCGUGGGGAGCGAACAGG